AUUGAACGCUGGCGGCAGGCCUAACACAUGCAAGUCGAACGGUAGCACAGAGAGCUUGCUCUCGGGUGACGAGUGGCGGACGGGUGAGUAAUGUCUGGGAAACUGCCUGAUGGAGGGGGAUAACUACUGGAAACGGUAGCUAAUACCGCAUAAUGUCGCAAGACCAAAGAGGGGGACCUUCGGGCCUCUUGCCAUCGGAUGUGCCCAGAUGGGAUUAGCUUGUUGGUGAGGUAAAGGCUCACCAAGGCGACGAUCCCUAGCUGGUCUGAGAGGAUGAACAGCCACACUGGAACUGAGACACGGUCCAGACUCCUACGGGAGGCAGCAGUGGGGAAUAUUGCACAAUGGGCGCAAGCCUGAUGCAGCCAUGCCGCGUGUGUGAAGAAGGCCUUCGGGUUGUAAAGCACUUUCAGCGGGGAGGAAGGCGGUGAGUUUAAUAAGCUCACCGAUUGACGUUACCCGCAAAAGAAGCACCGGCUAACUCCGUGCCAGCCGCCGCAGUAA
rnacentral:rRNA from 1 species